AACGAACGCUGGCGGCAUGCCUAACACAUGCAAGUCGAACGAAGCCUUCGGGCUUAGUGGCGCACGGGUGCGUAACGCGUGGGAAUCUGCCCUUAGGUACGGAAUAACUCAGGGAAACUUGUGCUAAUACCGUUUGAUGUCGAGAGACCAAAGAUUUAUCGCCUAGGGAUGAGCCCGCGUAGGAUUAGCUAGUUGGUGGGGUAAAGGCCUACCAAGGCGACGAUCCUUAGCUGGUCUGAGAGGAUGAUCAGCCACACUGGGACUGAGACACGGCCCAGACUCCUACGGGAGGCAGCAGUGGGGAAUAUUGGACAAUGGGCGAAAGACCUGAUCCAGCAAUGCCGCGUGAGUGAAGAAGG
rnacentral:rRNA from 1 species